AAAAUUAUUUUUCUGGCUGAUGGAAGCUACUGGUCUUCAGAUGUCAAGCCUGUAAGUAGUGCCUGUUUGGUUAUAAAUUUAAGUGAAAGAUGCUGUAAGAAGACAUCAGAACAAUCUCAGGUAAGCUCUGCAAACCCAUGUGGAGUAUCGGGUCUGAGGGGUGAAACCAUGGACAAAAACAGAUUAACAAUUUAAUAUGGUGACCAAACACUGAUUUCUGCUUUGGCCCCUGUAACAACUGUGUUGUAAGAAAGGUCAGACAAGACCCUUGGAUGAAAUGUGUGGAUCCUCUUAGCCUGGGGGAACAAGUAUCAUUAGUUAACCUGGCACCAAACCAAGAAGCAAAGGCACUGCCAGGCUGGGGAGGGACAAGAGCACAGUGCUGGGCUGUGGCUUUCUCUUUUUUUCUUGAGAAAAAUAAAGAAUUGUAAUCAUCUUUUCUGCCUUAGCUCAAGGUGCACACUGCAGACCAGGAGGGAGAUCAUGUAGCAUAACAAUGUGUGAUGACAGCAGCUAAAAGCUUCUUUUGACAUGUUUCCAGCUCAUAAACUGGGCUAUAUAAUUCAGGGGAAAGACCUAUUAGUCUUCUAAUUUCUUGAGUCUUUGAAGGAAUACACCAGGUUGCUGGAUACUGAGGGAGAAGCUUUGUACCCCAGUUUUAAGGAUAUCAGCACUGGGAAUAUGAAAUACUGUAUCUGUUUCAACAUUAGCUGAGAUUUUACAUAAUAGGAUUUCUUUUUCAUUUGAAAGCAUAGACUUACAGAAACAGACAGAUGCUAGAAAAGAUAAGAAGGUGCAUUAUUAAGACAGUUAAAAAUGACAGACAUCUUUUUUCAGCUACUCCAGUGUAGCCACUCAAUAGCAAGGUUUCCUAAUUAGCCUCCACCUCUUACCCCAGGGAGGGGAAGCUCUAAGAGCUGCUGCUUUCCUGCUCUUCCUCUUCAUUGUGACAAACAAAAGCAGCCAAAGCAGCUGCUCUGAGCCACUGGCUCCUUCAAAGCUGCCAUCACUGGGGAAGAACCAGCUUCAGAGCCUGUGACAGUGUUUUCUGAUGAGCUAUUGGCACAUUAGAGACCGACACGUUCACGUGGGGAGGAGCACACCUGUUCAGUCAGCCCGUGUGCAUGAUAACGUAUGAUAAUUGUGCAUCAGUGCUUCUGGGGGCUCUGUCAUUGCACCCAGACUGCUGAGAGAUCCUCCCAUCUGUAAUGUCAAUGCAAGGUCCUACACACAGGAUAAUAUUGGAGCUUGUUUGUUACUCUUUUCACAUACUAGUUUUGGUAAACACAUGAACGUUAAUUCUCUGCCCAUGAGAUAAACCUGCAUGGUGGCAGUAAUGGAUGCAGCUUGCAAACAGGAAAGGACAUUUCACUGGGUGGAUGAUUUCCAAGAAGCAAGAAAACUUCUCAGCAUGGCUUUUAGUUCUCUUCACCAUGUGAGUUCAUGCCAGUCU